rnacentral:rRNA from 1 species
GACGAACGCUGGCGGCGUGCUUAACACAUGCAAGUCGAGCGGUAAGGCCCUUUCGGGGGUACGACGAGCGGCGAACGGGUGAGUAACACGUGGGUGACCUGCCCUCAGCUCUGGGAUAAGCCUGGGAAACCGGGUCUAAUACUGGAUAUGACUCCAUGACGCAUGUUGUGGGGUGGAAAGCCUUGUGCGGCUGAGGAUGGGCCCGCGGCCUAUCAGCUUGUUGGUGGGGUGANGGCCUACCAAGGCGACGACGGGUAGCCGGCCUGAGAGGGCGACCGGCCACACUGGGACUGAGACACGGCCCAGACUCCUACGGGAGGCAGCAGUGGGGAAUCUUGCGCAAUGGGCGAAAGCCUGACGCAGCGACGCCGCGUGAGGGAUGACGGCCUCGG